GAACGCUGGCGGCAGGCUUAACACAUGCAAGUCGAGCGGUAACAGGGGGUGCUUGCACCCCGCUGACGAGCGGCGGACGGGUGAGUAAUGCUUAGGAAUCUGCCCAGUAGUGGGGGAUAGCCCGGGGAAACCCGGAUUAAUACCGCAUACGUCCUACGGGAGAAAGCAGGGGAUCUUCGGACCUUGCGCUAUUGGAUGAGCCUAAGUCGGAUUAGCUAGUUGGUGGGGUAAAGGCCUACCAAGGCCACGAUCCGUAGCUGGUUUGAGAGGAUGAUCAGCCACAUCGGGACUGAGACACGGCCCGAACUCCUACGGGAGGCAGCAGUGGGGAAUAUUGGACAAUGGGGGCAACCCUGAUCCAGCCAUGCCGCGUGUGUGAAGAAGGCUUUCGGGUUGUAAAGCACUUUCAGUGAGGAGGAAAACCUUAUGGCGAAUACCCAUGAGGCUUGACGUUACUCACAGAAGAAGCACCGGCUAACUCCGUGCCAGCAGCCGCGGUAAUACGGAGGGUGCAAGCGUUAAUCGGAAUUACUGGGCGUAAAGCGCGCGUAGGUGGUUUGAUAAGCGAGAUGUGAAAGCCCCGGGCUUAACCU
rnacentral:rRNA from 1 species